AAAGAGUGAAAGAGUGUUGUGUGCUUUUGCUGAGUUUAGGAUGGUGUCAAUUGUGCCUCAGGAGAAGAGUUUAGACAUUCUGUCCUGAUGAAUGUAAUCAAGUCUUUAUUUCAUGGUUUCUCUUAACGCAAAUACGUACAGGUUCAUAUUCGUCGAUGAGGGAUUUUGUGUCCUUUUUAAAACAGCCUCAAUCACCUGAUUCCUCCCUGCCACUUCUCUGCAAAUGAUAGAGUUCACACAUCUAUAAUUCUCUCAUAGGUUCAUGUGGGCUGCUCCUCAUAACCCUGCUCAAACACUACUGAGGCAUCAGGAUCUUCAAGAUUCAUAUGAGGAAACUGAAGCGAAAGAAUGUUGACUAAUUUUGUC
rnacentral:lncRNA from 10 species